GAAGGUCGACCGCUGGAGGGGUUUAGUUGGCAUUGUUGAAAGUUGAUGGCUGGGGAGGUACGAAAGAUAUCGGAGACAGUCGGUCACUGUAGAAACCUGAUCGCUGGAGCCCGUCCGUUGUAGAAGUUCGUCUGAAAUUCAUCCACUGUAGAAGCUCGGAUGGAGACCGGUUGCCGUGGGAGCCCGGAUGGAGAUCGCUUAUUGUAGAAGUUCGGAUGG
rnacentral:lncRNA from 1 species